AGUGAACGCUGGCGGUAGGCCUAACACAUGCAAGUCGAACGGCAGCACAUUAAGAGCUUGCUCGUACGGGUGGCGAGUGGCGGACGGGGGGGGAAUACAUCGGAAUCUACUUUUUCGUGGGGGGUAACGUAGGGAAACUAACGCGAAUACCUCAUACGACCGACGGGUGAAAGCAGGGGAUCUUCGGACCUUGCGCGAUUGAGUGAGCCGAUGUCGGAUUAGCUAGUUGGCGGGGUAAAGGCCCACCAAGGCGACGAUCCGUAGCUGGUCUGAGAGGAUGAUCAGCCACACUGGAACUGAGACACGGUCCAGACUCCUACGGGAGGCAGCAGUGGGGAAUAUUGGACAAUGGGCGCAAGCCUGAUCCAGCCAUACCGCGUGGGCGAAGAAGGCCUUCGGGUUGUAAAGCCCUUUUGUUGGGAAAGAAAAGCAGCAGGUUAAUACCCCGCUGUUCUGACGGUACCCAAAGAAUAAGCACCGGCUAACUUCGUG
rnacentral:rRNA from 1 species